rnacentral:rRNA from 1 species
UACGUAGGCAGCAAGCGUUGUUCGGAUUCACUGGGCGUAAAGGGUGCGUAGGCGGUCGGGUAAGUCUGAUGUGAAAUCUCACAGCUUAACUGUGAAACUGCAUUGGAUACUAUCCGGCUCGAGGAAUGGAGGGGAGACUGGAAUACUUGGUGUAGCAGUGAAAUGCGUAGAUAUCAAGUGGAACACCAGUGGCGAAGGCGAGUCUCUGGACAUUUCCUGACGCUGAGGCACGAAAGCCAGGGGAGCAAACGGG